rnacentral:rRNA from 1 species
CGCCGUUUUAUCAAAAACAUGUCUUAUAGAAAAUAAUUUUAAGUCAAAUCUGCCCAAUGAAAAAUUUAAUGGCUGCAGUAUCAAUAACUGUACAAAGGUAGCAUAAUAAAUAGUUUUUUAAUUAAAAACUAGAAUGAAUGAUUUAAUGAAAUAUAAACUAUAUAAAAAUAAUUAAAAUUUAAAAUUAAAUUUUAAGUAAAAAUUCUUAAAUUUAAUUAAUAGACGAUAAGACCCUAUAGAAUUUUAUAAUAAAAUAUUUUUAAAAAUAAAAUAUUAUUUAAUUGGGGUAAUUUUAAAAUUAAUUAAACUUUUAAUAUAAAAACAUAAAUUAAUGAUUUAAAAAUCCUAAACUUUAGAAUUUUAAAAUAAAUUACCUUAGG